CCAGUAAGUCAGUCUCUGUAUCAGAAGCAACGGUCGCUAGGCUGAGCCCAUGCAGACAAGAGGGGUUGGAAAAGGAAAGGAGCGGAAUCCAGAACUGGAAUCUUUUGGCUGCAUUCUCCUUGGAGUGGAAAGAGAGAGGCCAGAUUCAUCCUUUAAUCUCCUGGUGAGCACCUUGAAGCCCUGUGGAGAGGACCUUCCUCAUUUUGAGACAGUAUUACAAGAUGAUGGAAGACAGUGUGGACAGUUCCCAGCAAGCUCCUCCUGUGCACCCUGAGGAUGACCGUGGGACAUCUCCUAUGUGUUGUCAUCCUGCAGUGCUAUCACUGUGCCAACCACGAAUGUGAGCAGCAGGUUCUCCCUGUUGUUUUUGGUGUGCGCUUCCCUUCUUCUCCAGGAAAAGUGAAAUAACACGAAGGAAGAAACAGCAGAUUGUGCCUGAAGUCAGCCAGUAAGCCCCAGCCUGUGAGCAUGCUCAGCAGUCACAGCUUGGUAGCAGGCAGCCCAUGGGGCAUUCCUGUGCACACAGAGUGGGUAGUGCUAGGUGACAGACAUCCCCAGGAUGCUAUCGGCAGACAGACACAACCCACGGGUGCAUAGGGCAGCCCCCUCCCACAUACAUGCACUGGGGAGUUGCCAGGAUUCCUUCUGGGUCUGGAGCACAAGCGUUGGAGUUCUUUGGGCCAGGACCCAAUUUCAACAUAACAGACUCUAGAAGCUCUGAAAGAGAUGAAGACAGGGGAAGCCCUGAUGUGGAGGUGGGCACCUGGUCUUUCCAGAGCAGGGGGCCACACUUCCUCUGUGUGCUGCAGUGUGAUGUCUAUUUCCUGAGAGUCAAAAUAAGAUUAGCAAAGACAAUAAAUUUCUUAUAUCAAAAAAAUUAGCACCAAGAGCAGAGAAAAAAUAAGCGGAAGCGCUGCUUCCUGGGCUAGUGACCCUGACAAGCACAUGGGGUCCUGCACUCGGAAGGGCCACACUGGGUUCAGUAUUUGCUGUCACCAUCUUGAAAUUCUCAAUAAUUUUGAACAAAGAGGCUGCUCUUUCAUUUUGCACUGGGUCCACAAAUUAUGUAGCUGACUCUAAUAAGGUGUAUAGAAAAAUGUAGAACCUUUUAUUCUACUCAAUUGAUUGGAGCCUUCUCAAAUUCAGCUUCUUCUCCUUGUUUAUCAAGUGGCCACAAAAGUGCUGAAGUCUUUUUAUAAUAAUAACCCCUUAUCUGCAUUUCCACUUUCUGAAGUUUCAGUUGCCCAUAGACUGCUGGAAUAUUCCAGAAAUAGGCAAUUUAUGUUUUAAACUUCAUGCCUUCCUUAGUGGCAUGAGGAUAUCUUAUGGUACACCAUAUCAUCCCACUUGGGACAUGAAUUUUUCCUUUGUCCAGGGUAUCCAUAAUGUAUAUACUACCCUCCUGUUAGUAGCCUAGUAGUCAUUUCAGUUAUCAGAUUGAAAACCAUGCUUGUGCUUAAGUAAACUUUUACUUAAUUAAACCCCCAAAGCACAAGAGUAGUGAUUUUGACAAUUCAAAUAUGCCAAAGAGAAGCUAUAAAGUGCUUCCUUUAAGUGAGAAGAAAGGAGAGUGAGAGUGAGAGAGCAAAAGAAAACAUAUUCAUGUAACUUUUGUUUUAGUAUAAACAGACUAUUCAUAUCUGUAGUUUCCACAUCCUCAGAUUCAACCAAACAUGGAUGAGAAAUGUAUUUUUUUAAAGUGCAUCUAUUGUGAACAUGUACAUAAUUUUUCUUGUCAU